rnacentral:rRNA from 1 species
UACGUAGGGCGCAAGCGUUGUCCGGAAUUAUUGGGCGUAAAGAGCUCGUAGGCGGCCUGUCACGUCGGGGUGUGAAAGCUCGGGGCUUAACCCCGGGUCUGCAUUCGAUACGGGCUGGCUGGAGUGUGGUAGGGGAGAUCGGAAUUCCUGGUGUAGCGGUGAAAUGCGCAGAUAUCAGGAGGAACACCGGUGGCGAAGGCGGAUCUCUGGGCCAUUACUGACGCUGAGGAGCGAAAGCGUGGGGAGCGAACAGG